AACACAUGCAAGUCGAGGGGCGAGCACGGGAGUAGCAAUACUUGGUGGCGACCGGCGCACGGGUGAGUAACGCGUAUGCAACCUACCUAUCAGAGGGGAAUAACCGGCGAAAGUCGGACUAAUACCGCAUAAAACAGGGGCACCGCAUGGUGAUAUUUGUUAAAGAAAUUCGCUGAUAGAUGGGCAUGCGUUCCAUUAGGUAGUUGGUGAGGUAACGGCUCACCAAGCCGACGAUGGAUAGGGGAACUGAGAGGUUGGUCCCCCACACUGGUACUGAGACACGGACCAGACUCCUACGGGAGGCAGCAGUGAGGAAUAUUGGUCAAUGGGCGGGAGCCUGAACCAGCCAAGUCGCGUGAAGGAAGAAGGAUCUAUGGUUCGUAAACUUCUUUUGCAGGGGAAUAAAGUGCAGGACGUGUCCUGUUUUGUAUGUACCCUGAGAAUAAGGAUCGGCUAACUCCGUGCCAGCCGCGGC
rnacentral:rRNA from 1 species